rnacentral:rRNA from 1 species
UACGUAGGGGGCUAGCGUUGUCCGGAUUUAUUGGGCGUAAAGAGCGUGUAGGCGGCCAGGUAGGUCUGCUGUGAAAACUCGAGGCUCAACCUCGAGACGUCGGCGGAAACCAUCUGGCUAGAGUACGGAAGAGGCGAGUGGAAUUCCUGGUGUAGCGGUGGAAUGCGCAGAUAUCAGGAGGAACACCAAUAGCGAAGGCAGCUCGCUGGGACGUUACUGACACUGAGGCGCGAAAGCGUGGGGAGCGAACAGG